CGGAAAUUGGCGCAAUUGGUAGCGCACGCGCUUUGGGAGCGCGGGGUUGCAGGUUCGAGUCUUGCAUUUCCGACCA
rnacentral:tRNA from 2 species